rnacentral:rRNA from 1 species
AUGCUUUCGGGCAUAGUGGCGCACGGGUGCGUAACGCGUGGGAAUCUGCCCUUGGGUCUGGGAUAACAGUUGGAAACGACUGCUAAUACCGGAUGAUAUCGCGAGAUCAAAGAUUUAUCGCCCGAGGAUGAGCCCGCGUCAGAUUAGCUAGUUGGUGGGGUAAAGGCCUACCAAGGCGACGAUCUGUAGCUGGUCUGAGAGGAUGAUCAGCCACACUGGGACUGAGACACGGCCCAGACUCCUACGGGAGGCAGCAGUGGGGAAUAUUGGACAAUGGGCGAAAGCCUGAUCCAGCAAUGCCGCGUGAGUGAUGAAGGCCUUAGGGUUGUAAAGCUCUUUUACCCGGGAUGAUAAUGACAGUACCGGGAGAAUAAGCCCCGGCUAACUCCGUGCCAGCAGCCGCGGUAAUACGGAGGGGGCUAGCGUUGUUCGGAAUUACUGGGCGUAAAGCGCACGUAGGCGGCUUUGUAAGUCAGGGGUGAAAGCCUGGAGCUCAACUCCAGAACUGCCUUUGAGACUGCAUCGCUUGAAUCCGGGAGAGGUAAGUGGAAUUCCGAGUGUAGAGGUGAAAUUCGUAGAUAU